rnacentral:rRNA from 1 species
AUAGCUAAGUGGGAAACGAUGUGGGAAGGCUCAGACAGCCAGGAUGUUGGCUUAGAAGCAGCCAUCAUUUAAAGAAAGCGUAAUAGCUCACUGGUCGAGUCGGCCUGCGCGGAAGAUGUAACGGGGCUAAGCUAUACACCGAAGCUGCGGCUACGUACCUUAGGGUAUGUGGGGUAGGGGAGCGUUCUGUAAGCCGUUGAAGGUGGUCUGUAAGGGCUGCUGGAGGUAUCAGAAGUGCGAAUGCUGACAUGAGUAACGAUAAAGGGAGUGAAAAACUCCCUCGCCGGA